UGAUUUGGGUUAUCUCAAGAUCUAUUAUUAUGUUUAAUAAUUUUAGAAAUUAAGCAAAGAAUUGUUUAUACUUAUUCUACUAAAUUAUUUUAUAUAAUAAAUAUAUAUAUAUAUACUAAUAAAGUAUUGCAUAAAAUAAUUAUUCUAAGUCAUUCCUAUGCCUAAUUAUGUCAAGAUAUUAUCGGAAGGUAACUUUAAGCGAAAGCAAGGGAGAGAUUGAGUAAAUAAACAUCAAGCUUAUCCCAAAUAAGAUUUUAAGUAAAGGUAAGAGAGAAGUUGAGUAGACAAAGCUCAAUCUUACCCGAAAUAAGAUCGAUAAUUAAAAGAAAUUUUUUGUAUUUGCUUAUAAACGAAACUUAUUAAAACCUUAUAUAUGUGUAUUAGUUGCCAAUAAUAGAUAUUGAGAGGUAUUAAGAGGUGGUAACUUUAAGUGAAAGAAAGAGAAAAGUUGAGUAGGUAAAGGUUAAUCUCAUCCUAAAUAAGAUAAAUAAAAGAAAAGAUUUGUAUUCGCCUACAAGAAGCUUAUUAAAAUUUUUUAUAUGUGUAUGUAUAUAUUAUUAUUUACCAAUACUUGAUAUUGACAAUUAAUUAUUGUUUCAUAGAGAACCAUGGUGGAUGCAGGCAAAGAGCUUAUCAAUGAAGUUAUAGCAGACAAACUUGAUAUUGAAAAACUUGGUAUUGGACCCAAUUAUACAACAUUCACAAUAGCAGAUUUGGGUUGUUCAGUCGGACCGAAUANNN
rnacentral:lncRNA from 1 species